rnacentral:misc_RNA from 1 species
CUUUUGAGUAUGGUGAAUAUAAUUGUCUUAUCAGGCGUCCUCACAAGUUACUUGCAUUCAGGGUUUGAUGUUGGCAUAGGUUUGGGUUUAUGUUGGCGAUUUUUGUUCUGGGGGCCUUAGCUCAGCUGGUAGAGCACCUGCUUUGCAAGCAGGGGGUCGUCGGUUCGAUCCCGACAGGCUCCACCAUGAAAGUAUUUAUGGGUCUGUAGCUCAGGUGGUUAGAGCGCACCCCUGAUAAGGGUGAGGUCGGUGGUUCGAGUCCUCCCAGACCCACCAAUGUUAUAUCAAUUAUUCUGAAUGUGGUUUGCGCAUUUUUUAUGCUUAUCAGCCUUGGAGCUGUGAAGCGUUCUUUUAUAAUUUGAUGAUGUAGCAAGCGUUUGAACUUUUUGUUAAUAAUUUCUCAUUGGAAGCCUUAAGUGACAAUGUUUAUCCAUUGUCUUGUAGAUUUUGAGGCGACUUUGGGUUAUAUGGUCAAGCGAAUAA